rnacentral:lncRNA from 1 species
UAUAUAGGUGCAUUAAAUUAAAUAGCAUUUAAUAUGGUGAUAUAACAAGGAACCCAUGCUUUUGCAUGGAAGCAUCUGCACCUGCAACUAGCAACGCCAACACAGGGUUAAGCAAGCAGUAACAUAGCCAAUCAGUGGUUUGCUAGGUCGAACAGGUUGAGGGUUUUCAUGGCAUUGUUGAGAGGCUAAUAUUUAACAUGUGGUAGGCAACGAGACAUAAACGGUAGAAGCGGUAAAACUAGCAUGGCAAUGAUAG